rnacentral:lncRNA from 1 species
UUCCCGAUGUGCCCCCCCCCUCCAUUUGCGGAGGAAUGUUUGGGCGAGCCGAGUCUUCUUGUUAAUGUAAAUAAUUUACCUUCGCCUUUAUCCUGAUGGAAUCUUAAUUGGGCCUCUCCAGGCUGCCUCGCUGCAAUUCAUCAACGUCUGGCUUGUCUGGGGAAAGAUGCAGUGCCGCUUUCGUCAAAUGCAGCUGUCAACUGUGACGCCAUCGUCUGGGACGAGGGCUCUUUCCAGGAAGUGAGAAUUAGCAGGACAAGCUUGACAUUUCGGGAGACGUGCUCAUUUGCUCCUGGAGACAGUCGACUUUCUCAAGAGAGGUUCCCAGCACCUUCAGAUGACUGGAGCUUCAGGAGCAGCUGGUUCUGAUGGUCUAGACUCCAGACACAUAGGUAAUUCUCUACCAGUACUACCUCCACGAGCGACCGGUAGAUCGCGAUCGCCGUAAUGAGCCCCCCUGGUCUAGAGAGGUUUAAGGCAGCAGGAAGACGCCCAGGCAAUAUGAAGUGAGCUGAAAUAAUGUGGCCACAAACAAUUUCCUUUUAAAGAAAUGAAUCAAAAAAGACCAAAUGGUGUUUUUCGAGGCUUGGGAACACAUAUUCCAGCACUCUGAUGUUCUGAUGAAGCGAUUAAAAAGAUCUAUAAAGAG